rnacentral:lncRNA from 1 species
CGGGGCUCUGUUUCUGUAACUGGGGUGACUGGGCUAACUGUGAUUGGUUAGGCUUCCCUCCGCUUGACUGCACUGUCCCGCUUCUGUAACCUGGCUUGCUUGCAUUGGCUAGACCCCCUGAACAUCCCUUUUGCAGUUUUCAGGCUUAUAAGGAGUGCCCUUGCAAUUGUUCAGGGCUGAUCAGGGGAACAGCUUUAUGUUCUGGUCAGCCACCACCGGUGUGCUUCAAUAAAGGCUUGAUUCGAUUAU